CACGGAGUCGGGCGGACGUUUGCGUUUGUUCACUGGGUCAGGUCCGGAAGGAAGCAGCCCAAGCAUGUUGCGACGGGUCGCUCGGCUCUUUUCCA
rnacentral:SRP_RNA from 1 species